rnacentral:rRNA from 1 species
CGUAACACGUGAGCAACCUUCCGAAAUAUGGGGGAUAGCCGGCUUAACGGCCGAGUAAUACCGCAUACGCUCUCGAUGAGGCAUUUCAUUGAGAGGAAACCUCCGGGGUAUUUCGAGGGGCUCGCGGCCUAUCAGCUAGUUGGCGAGGUAACGGCUCACCAAGGCAACGACGGGUAGCUGGUCUGAGAGGAUGGCCAGCCACAUUGGGACUGAGAUACGGCCCAG